rnacentral:lncRNA from 1 species
GCGGGGAGGCGGCUGAGGCCCCGCGAGAAUUCGAGCGCAGCGCGGGCGGGCCGGUAGUGCUGGGUAUCCCAGCCCACCCUCCGCAGCUGCUAGCCCGAGUGCUAAGACUCUCACAGCCCGGGGCUGGCGGCGCCAGCCCGCCGCUUCGAGUGCGGAUCCUGCCCAGCCCGCACCCACCCGGAACUCGCGCUGGCGCGCGAGCGCGGCGCGCAGCUUGGGUUCCUGCCGGCGCCUCUCCCUCCACACCUCACCUCAAACAGAGGGAGCCGGCUCCGGUCUCGGCCAGCCCAGAGAGGGCCUCCCAUAGUGCAGCGGCGGGCUGAAGGUCUCCUCAAGCGCUGCCAGAGUGGGCGUCGAGGCUGAGGAGACACCGAGAGCGAGUGAGGGCUGCAAGCAUGCUGUCACCUCUCAGUAAUUUGAGAAAAUUUCUGUUUUCUAUGGGUAAUCUGUAUCUCUGGCCUCCUUGUCUGACUGAGUGGAUUCAUUGCUCCUGUAUGUGUUAUCACAGAAGUGAACUU